CAUAGCUGCUGAUUUGCCUGAGCAGCCCAUGGGGCACCUGCAGCAGCUUCCUGGGCUCGAAGGAUUGUGGCUCAAAGGCAGCUAGUGGCCUGGCUUUACAGGGUAAAGGUAAUGAAAUUCACAGGAUGACUUCAAGCCCUAAGCUCAUGGUAAAUGGAAACACCCGAUAUGGCUCCAUUGUCACCUACCACAUGGAGGUCCUCACUACCAAGUGGAAGUAAUGAUGUUACCUGCCUCUGAGAGUGAGUCAUUCUUGUGUUCACGGGCUAAGAUUUUCUCUUGCAG